AGAGUUUGAUCCUGGCUCAGAGCGAACGCUGGCGGCGUGCUUAACACAUGCAAGUCGAGUGCGCGUCUGUAGCAAUACAGAUGGCGCACGGCGCACGGGUGCGUAACACGUGGGUAAUCUGCCCUUCGAAGGGGAAUAACUCGCCGAAAGGCGAGCUAAUUCCGCAUAACAUUCCGAGGACUUUGGUUCUUGGAUUCAAA
rnacentral:rRNA from 1 species